GGCUUAGACGGUAAAGAGUCUGCCUGCAAUGCAGAUGACCUGGGUUCGAUCCCUG
rnacentral:tRNA from 1 species